GUGUCAGCAGCCGCGGUAAUACGUAGGGUGCGAGCGUUAAUCGGAAUUACUGGGCGUAAAGCGUGCGCAGGCGGCUUUGCAAGACAGAUGUGAAAUCCCCGGGCUCAACCUGGGAACUGCAUUUGUGACUGCAAGGCUAGAGUACGGCAGAGGGGGAUGGAAUUCCGCGUGUAGCAGUGAAAUGCGUAGAUAUGCGGAGGAACACCGAUGGCGAAGGCAAUCCCCUGGGCCUGUACUGACGCUCAUGCACGAAAGCGUGGGGAGCAAACAGGAUUAGAAACCCCCGUAGUCC
rnacentral:rRNA from 1 species